rnacentral:rRNA from 1 species
GGCGCAAGCCUGAUCCAGCAAUGCCGCGUGUGUGAAGAAGGCCUUCGGGUUGUAAGGCACUUUUAUCAGGAGCGAAAUACCAUCGGUCAAUACCCGGUGGGGCUGACGGUACCUGAGGAAUAAGCACCGGCUAACUUCGUGCCAGCAGCCGCGGUAAUACGAAGGGUGCAAGCGUUAAUCGGAAUUACUGGGCGUAAAGGGUGCGUAGGCGGUNGUUUAAGUCUGUUGUGAAAUCCCCGGGCUCAACCUGGGAAUGGCAAUGGAUACUGGGCAGCUAGAGUGUGUCAGAGGAUGGUGGAAUUUCCGGUGUAGCGGUGAAAUGCGUANAGAUCGGAAGGAACAUCAGUGGCGAAGGCGGACAUCUGGGACAACACUGACNC